UGACAAUAUGACCUGCUCUCUUCAAUGCCUUGUAUGUGACAAGGGAAACAGCAGCUUUACAGCAUUUGCAAGGGAGGGAGAUUUUAUUUUUGUCUUACCAGUUGAAGGAACUAUGACUAACAUUUAGCUCAUGUUUCCACAGUGCUUUGAUGUUCUGAAGUGCUGAGUUCAUGGGACAAUGCAGUGUUUCUAAGAGGCCUUUUCAUGCAAUUUCUGCUACGAUAUCUUCACUAACAGCUUACAGGUGACUGCUGGAUUAAUCCCUGAAACUUUAUGUUCUAUUUAGCAAUGACAUUUGCUGGACUAUUUUAAGGAAAUUAAUAGUCUCAAGUUCUACAUUUCAGAUUCACAGAAGAGGCAAAAUAUCAGUUUCCUGAUGUGUAGAGCCAUCCAGCAGCCAAAAUAUGUUUCAUGGAGCCUCAGGUACUGUUCCAGAAAGAAGAGAUCAAACACAGAAAUGGAACAAGAAUUGACAUUCUGCUCUUUCACAUAUUUACACUCUGCUUACGAAAAAAAUAGAGAG